GAUGAACGCUGGCGGCGUGCUUAACACAUGCAAGUCGAACGGACUGGCGCCUAGCUAAAGCUUGCCGGAAACGGUGAUUGCGAGAAAUCGCAGGAGCCGUGGAAGACAAGUAGAGGCUAUUAGUCGGUCAGUGGCGAACGGGUGAGUAACACGUGGGUGACCUGCCCUAAAGUGGGGGAUAACUAUCCGAAAGGAUGGCUAAUACCGCAUGUGGUCCGGCAUUCGAUUGUCGGACUGAAGGAGUAAUCCGCUUUGGGAGGGGCCCGCGGCCCAUCAGCUAGUUGGUAGGGUAAUGGCCUACCAAGGCGAGGACGGGUAGCUGGUCUGAGAGGACGAUCAGCCACAUUGGCACUGAGACACGGGCCAGACUCCUACGGGAGGCAGCAGUGAGGAAUUUUCCACAAUGGGCGAAAGCCUGAUGGAGCAAUACCGCGUGAGGGAUGAAGGUUUUCGGAUCGUAAACCUCUUUUAAAUAGGAAGAUUAUGACGGUACUAUUUGAAU
rnacentral:rRNA from 1 species